UACGAAGGGGGCUAGCGUUGCUCGGAAUUACUGGGCGUAAAGGGCGCGUAGGCGGACAGUUAAGUCAGAGGUGAAAUCCCAGGGCUCAACCCUGGAAUUGCCUUUGAUACUGGCUGUCUUGAGUAUGGGAGAGGUAAGCGGAACUCCGAGUGUAGAGGUGAAAUUCGUAGAUAUUCGGAAGAACACCAGUGGCGAGGGCGGCCCACUGGAUCGGUACUGACGCUGAGGUGCGAAAGCGUGGGGAGCAAACAGG
rnacentral:rRNA from 1 species